rnacentral:tRNA from 1 species
GGAGUGUGGCUCAGAGGUAGUGUGCUCGCCUAGCACACGUGAGGCGCUGGCUGGGUUCGAUCCUCAGCACCA